UCUAAUUCUGUUUGAUUGAUUCUGCCAAAGGAGAAGGGAAGAAUGAAAGUCUGGGUAAUCCACAAACUAGAAAAUUGGUGUCUGAUGAGAGCCGACGGUAUCUUCUUGGAGGCCAUACAAGGCCAACAGCACUGGCCUACUUUUGUUUUGAAACCUCCCAUCCCGGAGCCACAAUUGCUACCACUUUGGUGGCAGAAGGAAGAUGUUUAUCCUUCACAAAGACAGCAAGCUUUCCAGCCCCUUCUGUAAUCUCCCAGGCCACGAAGGGGCCAGCCACAUGGUGUCGGCAGAUGCAGAGAGGGGCUGGCGAUUCUCAUACCAGGAAUUCCUCCGCUGUCCUUCCAGCAUCAAUUACAGAUCGCCUCCCUUCCUUCCAGCGGCAGAGAACCUGAGGCUUCGCUCCUGACUCCCAGCUUCCCACCCAGGCCUGGCAGCAAUUUGUAACCCCCGCUUACACAGGCUCUCUUACUGUCUGCAUUUUUGUUUGGAAAAUGAGCAAUUUGCUGUCGGUCGCUUGGCUCCUCUGUGAAGUCGGCAGAAAGGACGGCUCACCGAGGGGGACAGAUGGUCAGUGAAAGCAAGAGUCAGACCGUCAAGCUCAUCGCCCAAGCCUUGCCCCCGCCUGGAUCCCGAGCCGUUACGGGAGAACUGUCACACAGAAGAUUCCAGAGGUGACUUGAAAUCUUCGGUUCCUUGCAAUGGGUAGCACAGAUGGCUGUUUAAGGAACCACAUGAAAGAGCCACCGUGAAAGGAUGGUAUGCACAGAAUUCAAAUGUGGGAAUACGAUACAACCGAAAAUGUCUUAAGACACCAGGAAAAUAUUACGCUGUGAUUGUUAAGUGGAAGGAGCAAAGUUUCAGAAGAAUAAAUGAUGUAAAAUUUAUGUAAAAUUAUUAACAUAAUGUAUGUUUUCUAACAUAAUGUAUGUAUGUUUUUAUGUAUGUUUACAUAAAAUGUAUGUAAAAUUAUUAACAUAAUGUAUCACACGGUCAGUACUUAAAGUAUGUAAGUCAUUAUCACUCUUACCUCUCCUUGGAGCCCAGAUCCAAAACCAUUCCCCUUAUCUGAUUGUCCAGACAGAGAUGAUCCCUCCUUACAGCUCCGUAUAGCCAGCCCGACUUUAGCAUGUACGACUAUAUACCUUGGGUUAUUUUCAUUUAUGGUAUGUUUUAAAUGUCACCUGAUAAUAAAUAUUCCUCCUUCUCGUUUUGCUUCAGUUAGGUUGAGUCGACCCUGCAACUUGAAAGCGAAUCUAAAUAAUAAAUUAUGGCAUAGGG